GCCGGGCGCGGUGGCACGUGCCUGUAGUCCCAGCUACUUGGGAGGCUGAGGUGGGAGGAUCGCUUGAGCCCAGGAGUUCUGGGCUGCAGUGCGCUAUGCCAAUCAGGUGUCCGCACUAAGUUCGGCAUCAAUAUGGUGACCUCCCGGGAGCGGGGGACCACCAGGUUGCCUAAGGAGGGGUGAACCGGCCCAGGUCGGAAACAGAGCACGUCAAAACUCCCAUGCUGAUCAGUAGUGGGAUCACGCCUGUGAAUAGCCACUACACUCCAGCCUGGGCAACAUAGCGAGACCCUGUCUCU
rnacentral:SRP_RNA from 1 species